UUUCCACCUCCAGCCAAUCCCAGAGAAGGCAGGAGCGCACUCCUCCAAUGGGAGCCCGAGAGCGGUCAGUGGCCGUGGAGGCCUGCUACCCCCGCUAGCUCUCCAGCCCGCCGGAGGGACGCUAGAUCCAGCCGCCGGCCCCUUGAAUCUGCUCCCCCUCGGCAGCGGUGGCGCGGAGGGCAGGAGGUGUCUGGUGAGACGGUCAGCGGGUAUCGGAGGAUCGUGCGGGUAGCAAAGGGAUGGCGAGUGCCCCUGCAGCCCCAGACAACAACCAGAACAUGCAUCACUGUUAGAACCAUCACCCUGCAGCUAGCUUGGACACCAUUAAAAGGGCUCAUCAGCUACAAACGGAUAGAAGUGUCUGGUAUUCGUGAAGACAGAGUUUCAGGGCUACCACCUGGAGCUACACCCUCCAGCAACCCCUGCUUGGCCUCCCUGCACCCAGCCCUGCACCAGCCAGUCACAACUUGGGCUGUGUGUGGUGUUUCUUGGCAACUGGGACACAGACUCCUCCAGCAGCUCCACAGCCCCUCUUGUCCUCAGUGAUCAGAAGACUACAGAAGCUGGCUACUGAAGAGGCUGUCCAAGUGAUAGAGCUCCUCCUUGACUCUGCUUAGCACAUUUACCACAGAGCAGUAGCUGAGUGCUGGAUGUUACUCAUUCGUGCUCACUACCUACGGGAACUGUAGAGGGGUUUGUCAGGCCUUGUCUCACAAAGGGCCACCCUGUAAAGAUCUCCACAGGAGGCUGCCCAUAGAGAGAAUUGGCCUGCCUAGGUUCUCCACUGCCUUACGUCCUACGUGGAUGCCUCCAGGGCUGAGGGGAUCCAAUACCUUUUCACCUACCCGUGAUCUACACAUCGACUGGAAAAUUCAGCCUCCUGUUUUUUGUUCUUGUGUUUGUUUUAGGCUAGGAAGAGUUUUACCUACUUCUUUAAUUCCUUUAGUAGCCAGAGGGCUAGUCAGGAUUUGUUUUUUCUUCUUGAGUCAAUUUUGGUAAGUUAUCAAUUUCUAGGAAUUGGUCCAUUUUAUCUGCACUUUCAGAGUUUUUGGCAUAAAGGCCCCCCUUUUAAAGUCCUCUGCUGUGUAUAAUCUGUAACUAUGUCUCCUUUUUCAUUGCUGAUAUUGGUUAUUUGUGCCUUCUCACUUUUUUUCUUGAUCAAUCUCACCAGAGGGUUGUCCAUUUUAUUAGUCUUUUCAAAGAACCAACUUUUGGCCCUGUUACUCCUCUCUAUUGUGUCUUUGUUUUCUAUUUCUUUAAUUUCUGCUCUCAUCUUUUUUGACCUACUUCCGUCCACAUUUUUUGGAUUUAUUCUGUUGUUCUUUUUCUAAUUGCUUAUGUUGGACAUGGAGCUCAUUAUUUUUCAGCCUCUUUUGUUUCAUGGUGUGUGCAUUUAAGGAUGUAGAUUCCAAAUACUACUUUUCUACACAUUCAAACAUGUCCCAUUUCAUUAUUGUUCAGUUCCGAGUACUUCAGCAUUUCCACCAUGGUUACUUCUUUGGUGAGUUAUAUAGAGGUGUGUGUUUCUAAAUUUCUAGAUGUGCGGGCAAUUUUUAAUGUAUCUCUCUGUGAUUGAAAUCUAUCGUAAUUGGAUUGUGGUCUGAGUAUGCAGUCUGUGUGGUAGCAACUCUAAAAUUUAUGAGACUUGUAUUGUGGCUAAGUACAUGAUAAAUAUUUUUGAAUGUUUCCUAUGUGCUUUAUAAGAUGUGUGUUCUCUAAUUGUUGAACACAGAGUUCCACCUAUGUUUAGUAUCAAGUUUGUUAAUUGUAUUAUUCAAAUUUUCUACACUGAUUUUUUGGUUGUGCUAUGCCAAUAAUUGUAAUAGGUGUGCUAAUUUUCAACUAUGAUGGUGGAUUUGUCUGUUUCUCCUUAGAGUUCUUUUUAACAAUUUUUAUAUAUUUUGAGGAUAUUUUAUUAGGAAUAUUCAAAUGAAGAAUUGUUAUACGUUCCUGGUAAAUAUGUAAUGACCCUCUCUAUUCUCAAUAACACAUUUUUGAAGUCUAUCUAAUCACACAACACAAGCUUUUCUUCUUAUUUGGAUUUGUGUGAUGAAGAAUUUUCCAUCCUUUCAUUUUUCAACAUUCUCAUACCCUUAUCCUUGAAUAUCUCUUAAAAAUGACAUAUAGCUGGACCCUUUUAAAAAAAUCUAAUCUGAUGAUCCCUUUUAAUGGGUGAGUUUAGUCUGUUUACAUUUUCUAUGAUAUAUUUGGGCUAGUUUCUAACAUCAUACUUUUUUUAUUUCUAUUUCCUACCACCACCUUUUCUAUGCUUCAUUUUUCUUUUUCUGGCCUGUUUUUUAGUUUGGAGAUUUGUUUAUUUGCUUUCUUAUUCACUUUUUUCCUCUGUACUGUUUGAAAUUUAUUUAUGCAUUCUUUUUUAAAAAAUUCUUUCUGUGGUUAUCCUUGAACUUUUACCAUGCAUGCAUAACUUACAAGGUCUAAAGGAAAUUGUAUUUUAACCUCCCUCUUGAAGAAUGCAGGAAACUUCAUCUCUGAUCAUUCCUCUCUUUGCCACAUGCUAUUGUCUUGAGUAUGUUAGUUUGUUCCUUUUUUUUAACCUCACAGAUUCUGCAUCAUCAUUAGUAUUAUUUUAUAUAGACAGUAUUUUUUUUGGAUUUACAUGCAUACAUUCUUGCAUCUCAGACUAUGAUUCUGGGAUCAUUUUCUUUUAUCAUAAAUACAAUGUUUAGAUGUUCUUUUAGAACAGGUCUCUUGGUGUUAAAUUCUCCCAGUUGUUGUGAUAUGCAAAUGUCUUUAUUUUAUCCUCAUUCUUAAAAGACAAUUUGUUAUAGGUAUUUAGAAGUCUGCUGUCUAAUGGCUAUUUUUGGUAGGUGUUUUUAUUUUCUUAUACUUAAGCUACUUUUAAGAAAUUAUCUCUCACUCUCUCUCAGAGGGGGAUCUGCAGAGGGUAUGCAGUUUCAUUCUAACAUGUUUAGGCAUGUAUUUCUUUUUUAUUCUACUUUAAAAAUGUGCUUCAUGCUUUUGAAUUCAUGUUUUUCAUAAUUUCUAGAAAAUUCUCAGCCAUUAUCUUUUCAAAUAUUGCCUUUCUUCCAUCCUUCCUAUAUUUUCUUUCUCAGAAUCCAGUUAGUCAUAUUUUGAGCCUCAUUGUAUCUUCCAUAUCUCAUAAUGUCUUGUUGAUAUAAUCUAUUUCCUUGUCUUCCUACAUUUCAUUCUAAGCAAUUUCUUCAGAUAUAUCUUUCAAUUUAUGGAUUCUCUCUUCAGCUCUGUCAACUCUGUGUGCUUAAUCUGACUACUGAGUUUUUUAUUUCAGUAAGUAUAUUUUUCACGUGUACAAGCUGCAUAUUUUUCGCUUUCUAAUCUGCCUUGUCAUCCUUCAUAGUCUCUUGUUGCUUGCUCAUCUUUGUGGUUGCAUCUUUCAUUUAAAAAAAAAUUUUAUACUAUUUUGUUCAACCAAUAAUCAUUGUUUGCGUAAGUAUGACAUUAUAAUUAUUGUUCACGUCUAAACCACACAGUACACUCUAAUUAUAGAUCCUUUGUUGUAUGCCUUUUUGUUUUCUUAGUAAUCAUCUUUUUUUCUUUUGCUUAGUAUUACUAAUUCUUUGAAAUUCCUUUUAAAAUCUGUAUCAGUUCAUGUCUCUUUUCUGCUCGAAAUUCUCCCUGCUCCCAGCUCCCCCAGAAUAAAAGUCAAAGCCCUCAUCAUGGCCCAAAAGCCUGCACAGUCUGGUCCCCAUGCUUUUUCUGACCUCCUAUCCUGUUACUCUUCCCAUUUCUCACUUUUUUUCCAGCCACCCCAGCUUCCUGGAUAUUCCUCAAACAUGUCAGGUGCCCUCCCCCUUCAGAGCUUUUGUACUUGCUGUUCUCACUGCCUGCAACACUCUUCUUUCCAGAUAAUGUCAUGAGUUUCCCACCCACUUCCCGUAUGCUCAAAUGUCACCUCCCUAGACAAGCAUUCCCUGACCAAACUAGUCCCAUUCACCAGUGUUUUCUAACCCCAUUAUCCUACUUGAUGUCUUAUGUUUUUGUACGAAGUGAUGAUCACUCCCUGAUAUAUUUUGUAUUUAUUUAUUGUGAUUGGUGUUUGUUGUUUCCCAGUAGACUGUAAGCUCCACAAAGCAGGGACUUUGUUUUGUUCACAACUGUAUCCCCAGUUCCAAGAAGAACAGUGCAUAGUAAUAUUUAGUAGACAUUCAAUAAAUAUUUAUGGAAUAAACUGAAUUAAUUAACUAA